GACGAACGCUGGCGGCGUGCUUAACACAUGCAAGUCGAACGGAAAGGCCCUGCUUUUGUGGGGUGCUCGAGUGGCGAACGGGUGAGUAACACGUGAGUAACCUGCCCUUGACUUUUGGAUAACUUCAGGAAACUGGGGCUAAUACCGGAUAGGAGCUCCUGCUGCAUGGUGGGGGUUGGAAAGUUUCGGCGGUUGGGGAUGGACUCGCGGCUUAUCAGCUUGUUGGUGGGGUAGUGGCUUACCAAGGCUUUGACGGGUAGCCGGCCUGAGAGGGUGACCGGCCACAUUGGGACUGAGAUACGGCCCAGACUCCUACGGGAGGCAGGAGGGGGGAAUAUUGCACAAUGGGCGGAAGCCUGAUGGAGCAACGCCGCGUGCGGGAUGACGGCCUUCGGGUUGUAAACCGCUUUCGCCUGGGAAGAAGCGUGAGGGACGGUAAUGGGUAAAGAAGCACCGGCUAACUACGUG
rnacentral:rRNA from 1 species